CUCUCUUCCAAUUCUGCUAUUUCCCUCACCCCCUGUCACUUGAUUGCCAUCCCCAAUGUUACCCUUCCUAUUAUUUUGUAGCAGACUCUAUUCCCUUAUGUUCGGUUGUCCGUACACCCUUGUUCAUCUCCUGAAUGACUGGCCUGUGGUCACCGUGUUAUGCCCCAGCGAAACCGAACUCCCCUGGCUGUGAAACACAAAUUAACAACUUGACACCUAGCUUGAGUGCUUUCCCUGGGUGGCCGCGAUUCAUAUAACCGAACACACGUGGUCCAGUGCAUGGCGGUUAUUUCAUCUCCCGAAUGCAGGCAGCGAUACCUG